GAUGAACGCUGGCGGUGUGCCUAACACAUGCAAGUCGAGCGAACAGACGAGGAGCUCGCUCUCCUGACGUUAGCGGCGGACGGGCGAGUAACACGUGGAUAACCUACUUAUAAGACUGGGAUAAUUUCGGGAAACCGGAGCCAAUACUGGAGAAUACAAUGAACCGCAGGGUGCAAGAGAGAAAGACGGCUUGGCCGAUACAUAGAGACGGAUCCGCGCCGCAUUAGCUAGUUGGUAAGGUAACGGCCUACCAAGGCGACGAUGCGUAGCCGACCUGAGAGGAUGAUCAGCCACACUGGAACUGAGACACGGUCCAGACUCCUACGGGAGGCAGCAGUGGGGAAUCUUCCGCAAAGGGCGAAAGCCUGACGGAGCAACGCCGCGUGAGUGAUGAAGGUCUUCGGGUCGUAAAGCUCUGUUGUUGGGGAAGAACAAAUGUAUAAGUAUCUAUGCACGUCUUGACGGUACCUAAUCAAAAAGCCCCGGCUAACUACGUG
rnacentral:rRNA from 1 species